CAAAAGGGAAACAAAUUUUCCCAAACUGAAAACUUGAAAUCCCAAUGAAAAUUAAGCUGCUUGGUGGCGCUCUUGCCAAGAUUUUGGUCAUUGCGAAGACAGGUGCUUGCAAAGACGGUCGCUGAACCAUUAUUUCAUCAUUCACCAUCUCUGUCCACAUCUGAAGAUGGACUUCAACGCUCCAUCCGAGUUAAUUCGUUUUUCUCCAUCUCGCUCCCCAUUUUUGUAUGUUUCUUUGUUCGGGUUAGGGAAUUUUGAAAAGAUAUUUGUAAAUUUAAUGCCCUUGAAGCUUUUGACUGAGGUGUUUAGGUCUUGAAGUGAUGAUUUCAAAGAGAUUAUACAUAAACAUGACUAUUUAGUCAUGUGUGAAAUGGUGAUAUCUAGAUUCAAAAAAAUUACAAUACUGUCAAAAUUCGAUUCCAAAUUAGUGUAAUUUUUGAAUAAUUUCAAUAAUUGGUCUUACUGAACUAUUGAAGCUAUUUCUCUCUCUCCUUGAUUAAUUGCUAGUUAAAAAUUUGUUUGAGAUAACUUUUUAUCUACUUAUUGUACUGUUAUUAUGGAAACCUGAAUGUGAGUAUUUAUGUUGUCGCAGCAAAAGAAACUAUGGACGAAGUACAAACGGAGCAUGAUGAUGUUUUGGCGAAAUUUGAUGAUAAGGCCGUUACGGACUUCGUUAACGUAGUGGAAGGUGAAAGCUCAAUUGGAGAUGGUGUGAUUGUGCCUAAGGUGGAAAUGCAAUUUAAGGAUUUAAAAGAUAUGUUUAACUUGUACAAAAAGUACAAAAUGUAUGCUUAUGCCGUUGGGUUUCCAGUAAAGAAAAAGAAUUUGAAAAAAGGUGAUGAUGGAGAGUUGAGAUAUGUGAUCUUGAUUUGUAGCCGUGAAGGCCAAAGAUUCGAUAAUACUAGUGGUUCUUUGAAGCCCAACCCCAGAAAGUUUGUUCCAGAAUCCGGUUAUGUUCUUCUGAUGGUACUCCCUGUGAAGUCUUGCCUAUUCAACAGUUUGCUGAAGAAAGUAAAAGGAGAGCUCGUUCAAGGAUGUAGCCAAUUGAUCACUUGUAUAGCCUUGUGUUAAUUUUUUGAGACAUGAAAAUGCUUUCCUGUUUCUUGUACUUGCAAGUUAAUCAAGUAUAAAUUUAUCUCAAACAAUGCUCAAGAAAUUGCAUGUGGUCUUCAAUGAUGGAU
rnacentral:lncRNA from 1 species